UUUUUAGUAUAAGUAUGACCCAGACAAUAUUUGUGUCAUCUUUUGCUAAAA
rnacentral:pre_miRNA from 1 species